GACGAACGCUGGCGGCGUGCUUCAUACAUGCAAGUCGAGCGGAAAGGCCCUUCGGGUACUCGAGCGGCGAACGGGUGAGUAACACGUGAGCAAUCUGCCUCCAGCUCCGGGAUAACGCGCUGUGGAAACACAGCUACUGGAAACAGGUGCUAAUACCGGAUAUGACCUCGAAGGACAUCCUUCAAGGUGGAAAGUUUUUCGGU
rnacentral:rRNA from 1 species